ensembl:lncRNA
GUGGUAUGACGUGUCUCUAGUCACAGAGACUUGGUUGAGUGUUAGUUGUGCCUUGUUUAAAGGUCUGCAUGACCUGACCUGUCAAUGGCCUUCUAUGGUUUCAUUGUUCUAAUCCAGGGGGACUAACUCAUUCCAUGGAGGGCUUAGUGUCUGCUGGUUGUUUCCUUUCAAUAAAGCAAUAGACAACCAUGUGAGGGUAGUUACUAAUCAGUGACCUUUAUUCAUCAAUCAAGUACAAGAGAGGAGCCAAAACACUCGGCCCUCUGUGGAAUGAGUGACACAUUGUAAUCUAUUCCCUUUGACAGACCGCUGACUUCUCCUCUCCGUGAUCUCUGAACUGGAGGCAUGAAUUUAAAUACUGUUUUCAGACCAAACACUUUUUAUUUUUACAUUGGUCAAUUAUAUGUGAAACCUGUAAGGUAAAACAUUCUGUAGAUUGUUUCUCUAUUCAAAAUGCUCAUCCUGUCUUCUGGAAAGGCUAAUCUUGUCCACAGGCACAGGUCUUUUCAGUAGUAAUGAAGGCAUGCUUCUGAAAGAGUUAAGGGUCAAAGGUCAUAACUCAGCUGUAGCACAGUCAUAGGAGGUCAUAGGUCAUGCUCAGAGUUGUGCAUCUGAUAUCAUGCAAUGGUUCAUGUAGGUUUGAUCUGAGGGUGCAUUCCAAAUGGCUCCCUAUUCCCUAUGGGCCCUGGUCAAAAGAAGUGCACCCUAUUCCCUAUGUGCCCUGGUCAAAAGAAGUGCACCCUAUUCCCUAUGGGCCCUGGUCAAAAGAAGUGCACCCUAUUCCCUAUGUGCCCUGGUCAAAAGAAGUGCACCCUAUUCCCUAUGGGCCCUGGUCAAAAGAAGUGCACCGCGUAGGGAAUAGGGAGCCGUUUGGGACAGACUUGUUCUUCAGUUGGUACAGCAUUAACGUUAUAACUAGGGAGAUACAAGCAUUCUUUAACCACAGAACCUGGAUAUCUAAUGGAAAUACAUCGUAGGUGCUAACCAUUUGUAACGUGGUUUUGCUUGCCAAAUGGCACCCUAUUCCCUACAUAGUGCACUACUUUUGAUCAGGGCCCAUAAGGGUCUGGUGAAAAGUAGUGCACUAUUUAGCGUCUGGUUCCAUUUGUGACAUCAUAGUUUUGUGCUCUAUGGAAGAGGCUGUAUUAUUGUUAGCACUCGUUAUAGUGGGAGAUGGUUACAGAGGUUUUAGACAGAACAUUCAUUAUUGCUUAGGUCAAAGGAACAUUCUAAAAUAUGGCCACAUUGCCUGAGAUAUGAAAUACAUACAUUAGUUGGAGGAUUAGAGGGGGUUGGGGGUUAGAGGAAAGUUGGAGGAGAGUUAGAGGGGGUUAGAAAGUUAGAGGGGGUUAGAAAGUUAGAGGGGGUCAGAGAGUUAGAGGAGGUUAGAGGGGGUUAGAGGAGGGUUAGAGGAGGGUUAGAGGAGGGUUAGAGGAGGGUUAGAGGAGAGUUAGAGGAGGGUUAAAGAGUUAGAGGACGGUUAAAGAGUUAGAGGAGAGUUAAAGAGUUAGAGGAGGUUUAGAGGAGAGUUAGAGGGGUUAGAGGAGGGUUAGAGGAGGGUUAGAGGAGGGUUGGAGGAGAGUUAGAGGAGGUUAGAGGGGGGUUAGAGGAGGGUUAGAGGAGAGUUAGAGGAGAGUUAGAGGAGAGUUAGAGGGGUUAGAGGAGGGUUGGAGGAGAGUUAGAGGAGAGUUAGAGGGGUUAGAGGAGGGUUGGAGGAGAGUUAGAGGACGGUUAAAGAGUUAGAGGAGGUUUAGAGGGGGUUUAGAGGGGGGUUAUAGGAGGGUUAUAGGAGGGUUAGAGGAGAGUUAGAGGAGAGUUAGAGGAGAAUUAAAGAGUUAGAGGACGGUUAAAGAGUUAGAGGACGGUUAAAGAGUUAGAGGAGGGUUAGAGUUAUAGGGGGGUUAGAGAGUUAGGAGGGUUAGAGAGUUAGGAGGGUUAGAGAGUUAGGAGGGUUAGAGAGUUAGAGGGGGGUUAGAGAGUUAGAGGAGGGUUAAAGAGUUAGAGGACGGUUAAAGAGUUAGAGGAGGGUUAAAGAGUUGGAGAGUUAGAGGAGGGUUAGAGAGUUAGAGGGGGGUUAGAGAGUUAGGAGGGUUAGAGAGUUAGAGGGGGGUUAGAGAGUUAGAGGAGGGUUAAAGAGUUGGAGAGUUAGAGGAGGGUUAAAGAGUUAGAGGACGGUUAAAGAGUUAGAGGACGGUUAAAGAGUUAGAGGACGGUUAAAGAGUUGGAGAGUUAGAGGAGAGUUAAAGAGUUAGAGGAGGGUUAGAGUUAUAGGGGGGUUAGAGAGUUAGGAGGGUUAGAGAGUUAGGAGGGUUAGAGAGUUAGGAGGGUUAGAGAGUUAGGAGGGUUAGAGAGUUAGAGGGGAGUUGGAGAGUUAGAGGAGGGUUAAAGAGUUGGAGAGUUAGAGGAGGGUUAAAGAGUUAGAGGAGGGUUAGAGAGUUAGAGGAGGGUUAUAGAGAGUUAGGAGGGUUAGAGAGUUAGAGGGGGUUAGGGAUAGAGGGUUAGAGGAGGGUUAGGGAUAGAGGGUUAGGUCUGGAGGGUUAGGGAUAGAGGGUUAGAAUGUUAGAGGAGGGUUAGGGAUAGAGGGUUAGAAGGUUAGAGGAGGGUUAGGGAUAGAGGGUUAGAAGGUUAGAGGAGGGUUAGGGAUAGAGGGUUAGAAGGUUAGAGGAGGGUUAGGGAUAGAGGGUUAGAAGGUUAGGGUUAGGGCUAGUAAACAAGAUAACAAAAGUCCAAAGUAAACAGAUAAAUAAAUCAGUGCAGAUCAGGGGGAAAAAGAGAGCAGGUCAACACAGGAAGAGAAGAGAGGAGCUCAACAGGCAAACAUUUCACUGUCGUCAAUAUAAUUGUGCAAAUAUAUCCUAUGAGAAUGUAUUGUUCAAGUUUUUUUUUACAAGCAAAGUUCUAUUACAUCAUGCUGCAGUCCCAUCCUCUUCUACAGCAUAGUUAAAACAUGGUAUCAUGCUGCAGUCCCAUUGUCUUCUACAGCAUAGUUAAAACAUGGU